GAAAACUGUGCUGAAAAAAGUCUCUCUCGACAGCUCCACGAGGAGAGCGCCAUGCAACCCAAACACAGAGAUUCACUGAGAAGCGAACCGCGAACUUUCAACAGCAUCUUCUCCCCUUUUGCUGGUUCAGGCGCUGCGUUGAUGAUGUUGGGGCUCUCUCGCGGUGUGGUUGGGGCCGUCGUCGUCGUCGUGUUGUUGCUGUUCGCUGCUUCUGUUGCCGCUGCCGGGUUCAAUAAUACUCGACGAAACCGCGCUCGGCAGAACCAGUCGAGUUUCGAGUUUCGCCGAGGCCAGUCAUGGAAAUCGACCCGUGAACACGCGCGCGCCGCUCUUUGAACCACAUUGUUGAACACUUUCAAGACCCGCGGUGCCGCCGGAGUAUCUAUAUGCAUGCGGAGAAUGUAAUAGAAGCUCACAGCUGUCUCACUCUUUUCGACGGAGCAGCAGCAAUAGCAACUAAAACAACUUAAACAAGAAAGCAUAACUUUAACACCGGAGGCGAAGGCCUAGGCUGGGGAGGAGAAUUCGCGUUUACCUACGUGUGGGAGCCGCCGGAGCGGAUGUUGCGAGAUAUUAUAUUGUUUGCAUAUGUCUUUUUGAUUGCUGUUUGGGCUUUUAUUCUAGCGAAAGUGAGCAUCUUCCGAUCCGUCUUUGAUCGUAUCCGCGCGAGUCGUUGCGUUGUUGGUUGGUUUGUCGCUGAUUUCGUGUUUGGUGGCAUUGAACAAAAAGCACGCGAACUCCGCGUAGUGGAUGUUGUGGAGGCGACCGUAUUCUCCGAGUGGUGGAUGGCAGAAUUCUGAAGAGCGGUCGAAACCAGUUUCCAAACGAAAAGUUUUUGACCUAUAUAUUUCUGCGAGCUGCAUUGUUAGUGGGAUGUGAUGAAGCUUUGAAAAAAGAAGUGAUGCAAAUUGCGAUGCCUGAAGGGAGAUCCGGAACGGGGAGGUCGUGAUAGUGUAUACCGAGUGUAGUGCAAUCGGUCGUGGAAACCGGCAACUACGGCAUAUGACGGAUACUGUGAGUCGAGCAUAAACGCAGAGUGUUGUACUACUACCUAGUUCCAUGUGCAGUGCACGUAUCGAAAGCCCUUCGAUUGCGUUGACUGACCUACCGGAACACGAAAGGCAAGCCGUGAGACAACGUUCUCUUUAUGGUUGACGCUGCAAGGGUGGAAGAGCACUUACACACGCCGCCGUACGUAGCAGGGUGAGGAAGUGGACCGGCGACCAUACGGCAAGAAAGGCUGGAGUUGCAAGCAGUCUCGCGAAUUGCCGCCCGUCGCGACGUUGUAAAGUGGGAGGUGCCCACGACGGUACUAGCGCAGCGUGCUUGGCGCAACAGUAGGCAGUAGGUAAAUCAUCAUCGUCUACCCCGCGUCGUGGUGCGUCUGUGUCACGUUGCGCCGAGAGGAGACCUGUUUGUGCGGUCGGUCCUGCUGGCCGGUCUUCCCCGUUUGACAAAUGCCCCAGCCAGCAGCCCUGGCUGGUCGUCCGCGUGCUGUGGUCAACGCAAUCAGGUGGUCGGAUAAUUGAAAUAAAUUUCUGGUAGUGACAGACACUAUUCCAGUCCAUCAAAGCAAAGUGGGAACCGCACAAAAAAUAUUACGGUGGACACCGAAGUGAUAAAACAGCAUCUGGUGUGGCAGUCAGCUGAAAAGGGAAUUAGUAAUACGGUGCUUCAUUACGGUUGGCUCCUGUGGAAGCACCACUAAGGGAAAAAGAAUAAAACUCUUAAUGUGAUCAAGUGCAAAGUUUUUAAUUGAAGAAGUCAGCUCACCGUGGGAGCAGCAGUAGUGGGAGCAGGAAAAAGUUGCACUUCAGUGUGACAUCGGGUCCCCCGGCGACGACGAUAGCAGUUGAACAAGAUCAACACAAGAAGGAGAAAGAGGAGAAGAAGAAGGAGGCUACCGACCAACUGACAAAGAAGACCAACCGCAUCUCGGGAAGGAAGCAAACAAAGUGUAAGACACUACCGCACGCGGCGAAAGCGGAAGGUAGCAGGAAUCACUUUGUUGCUGCAAUUGUGUGAAUUUCCAUUUCAAAGAGUCCGGUGUGAAGGUGGAAAGCUCUGGAAGCAAGGAAGCGACGGAAAGUGUGAGUGUGUGUGGGUGUGUGAGAGAGGAAGCCGAAGCCGAGUGGGGUUGAAAAGCUUGCAUUGCGGUCAGUGAGUGGGUGGGUGGGCGCGCCUUGGAAGCGCGUAGUGUAGCAAAAAGGAAACAAAGGUGUCUGAUACCGGCGAGUCCAGUGAAACGGAGCAACAACAGGCCGACCGAUGUAGUGAUAAUCUUCCGCCGUCAAUCUCGCCGCCGUCGCCGUUGCCGCCGCAGUCGUCGUCGUCGUCGUCGUCGAUGGCAACUAUUGAUUCAGGUGAGUGGAAAACGGAAGCAACUGCUUUAUUACCUCCGUGUCCUGUUGCAUUUGUUGUCAGGUGCGGGCAUCCCUCGAACUCUGCCAGCCAGAGGCGCGUCCUUGUGCGAGUAGCACUUUCAAUCUGGAAACGUUAUUAACAAGUCAUCAAGCAUAUACAAAAAUGUGAGUGGUUAUUACUUUUACGAUGAGGCACAUGUGUCCAGCGAGGUAUGUGCAUGUUUUAUGGCUUUCCGCUUGACAAAGUGACAGCGGGUUAAUUGUUUUUUUAGGGUAAUGGUCUCGUGCCUUUCAACUUUAUAGUUUCAUAUUGUAUGGCGAUAAACAUGAUUUAUGACUUUUUUUUUAUAUUGUUAGCGUAUCGUCCCAACUGGAAUAAAGCCUGCUGCUCAAUUUCUAUGAGUACUAACUUACUUUCUCCGUGGUCGUGCGGCUAGUGUCACCAAGCUCUUAGUCGUAUCAUGCUGAGGAGCGUGGGUUCGACUCCCGCCGCAGCUGUCCGGAAAAGUUUUCGGCUUUGCCACUGCUAGUCCGUUCAAAGAACGAAAAAGCUCACUGGAAGCAUUGAACGUGUCCGUGUCUUUUAUUAUUAAAAAGAAGAUCUCCAUCCUGGGCGAUUGCUCGACAUCGCCUUGGUCUGCAGCCAGGUCAAAUUUCUGUCAACUUCCUCGCUCCAGCUCCUCCGUAGAGUGUGACCGAAUCACCUCCACUUUCGCUCCCGAAUUUCUGUCGCUAUCGGCUCCACGUUGGAGAUCUUAUUGUGAAGCCACUACCGUGCACGAAUUAUAUAUGACAGGCAUCUAUUGAUGAAGACCUGCAGUCGUUGAGUGUUCUCCGCUGAUAUACACCAAGUUUCACAGGCGUACAGCAGCAUAAAUUUCACGCUCGAGUUGAAAAUUCGGAUUUUGGUGCGUCGACUAAUCUGGUUGUUUUUCCAUACAUUUCUUAAACUCGCAAAAGCAGUCCUUGCCUUCUUGUACUUUUGUACCUAUGUCGAUCUUGGUGCCGCCAUCGGCUGCCAUUCGGCUACCAAGAUAUUGAAGGCUUUCAAGAUUCUCCACUGAUUGCCCAGCUACCCUAAAGCUGAAAGGGUUGACCGUGAUUACAUCUAAAAAUUUGGUCUGGUUGACGUUGAUGGUAAGACCUGCCGCUGAGGAGCGAUUGGCAAGAUCAUCAAGCUUGCUCUGCAUAUCAGAGCGCCGUUGAGCUAGGAGAACAACGUCAUCAGCCAGUUCGAAGUCAUUUAGGUGUUCCAUGGUAAUGGGCUGCCACAGCAAUCCACGAUAUACAACCUUGCCACACUCCAGCAACGACCCGGAUGGGAUCGGACAAAACACCGUUGUGCACUACUCUGCACGAAAAUGCCCUGUACUGUGCUUCAAUGAGGCCGAUGGGGCCCUUGCGCCUGAGGGCUUCCCACAUGUUUUCGUGAUUAAGAUGGUCGAAAGCUUUUUCGUAAUCAAUGAACACCAGGUAGAGAGACUCUUGGAGUUCAUUGAUUUGCUCCAGAAUGAUACGGAACGUGACAAUAUGGUCCACAAAGGAUCGUAAGGCACGAAAUCUUGCUUGCUGCCGUCGGAGAGUUGCGUCAAUCUUCUCCUGUAUCCGGUUAUGGGUCACUUUGCAGUAAUGAUACCCCAUCAUUCAUCAAUCAUCGCAUACUGCCAGGUUACCUUUUUUUGGGCGCCUUUACUAAGACGCCUUGUAGUCGACCGGAAAUGUCUCGGUUUCCCAUACGUUGCAGAAUAAUUGCUGCAGCAGUGUUGUGCAGAUACUACGGGGUUCGCUUUGAGCAUCUCGGUUGAUAUGCGAUCGGCCCCGGGUAUUGUUCGAUUUCAUGCUACAGAUGACUGUUUCUAUCUCCUGCAAUGAUGGAGCUUUGGUGUUGUAAUGCGUCGAAUCCUUGGCGGAUCAUGCUGAGUUGUUGGUGAUAUGGCCGACACUGGAAAAAGGUUUCCAAAGUACUCGAACCAGGUCAGCCGGGUCAGUCAAGACGUUGAUCGCAGACGAAUGUCACCGGUAUUUGCGGCUUUCUCGCCUUCGUCUCCUAGGGAGUUCAUCCACGCUCUUUUGUCCCGCCUACAUGAGCACUUCACUUCCUUCUCGAGAGCCGAAUAAUGCUGACGGGCUACGGCUUUGGCUCCUCGUGUUUUCGCACGCUCUAUCGCGGCUCUGACGUUCCUUCACACCUCUAUCUUUCUCCAGGUGUCAGCUAUGAUCAACUGCUUUCUCUGGGUGCAUAGCUCACCCAAAUUAGGCGUUCUUGAUGGUGCUCCAUUGAUCUUUUACGCUUCCACCUGCUGAAAUAUCCGCAGCACGGUUCUCUAGCUCCUCGAUGAAGGACCUUUCUAUCGCAGUCACUUCCAGUCGGCGUGUGUUAAACCGCCGCCAGAUUUUUUCCUCCUGUCGAUGGAUCCUAGCAAUGCGCAGUCGGAUUUCGCCUAUUAGGAGAUGAUGGUCGGACGCAAUGUCGGCGCUACGUUUGUUCCGCACAUCAAGAAGGCUCCGUCUCCAUUUCGGCUGAUGCAGAUGUGGUCGGGGCCCAUAUAGCCGAGGCGGUAAACGCACGGGUAUUCAGCAUGACCAUGCUGAGGGUGACGGGUUCGAUUCCCGGUCAGUCCAGGAACUUUUCGUAAAGGAAAUUUCCUUGACUUCCUUGGGCAUAGAGUAUCUUCGUGCCUGCCACACCGAUAUACACAUGCAAAAUAGUCAUUGGCAGAGGAAGCUCUCAGUUAAUAACUGUGGAAGUGCUCAUAGAACACUAAGCUGAGAAGCAGGCUUUGUCCCAGUGAGGACGUUACGCCAAGAAGAGAGAGAGAGAGAGAGAUGUGGUCGAUUUGAUUUUCCGUGACGUCAUCACGGUAAACCCAUGUCACUUUGUGCACUGGUCGAUUAGGAAAGAGCGAUCCCCCAAUCACCAAGUCACUGUUGCCACAAAACUCUGCAAACAGCUCACCGUUUUCGCUCAUUUCUCCGAGACCAUGGCGUCCCAUGACGUGCUCAUAGUCCGAGUUGUCGGAACCAACCUUCGCGUUUAAGUCGCCCAUGAGGAUCUUGAUAUCACCUUUCGGAAUCUUGUUCACGACACUGUAGCAUUGGGCAAAUCUGACUGAGACAUCGACUUUUGUGAAUCGAUUCGAAUCGGAUCAGCAGAAUCGAUUCACCGAUUUAAUCGAAUGAUUUGAAUCGAUGUUUUCACAUCGAUUCGAUAUUAUAAAAUAUUACAAAACUAUAAAAUAAUUCGUUUUCUGCAUUAUUUGUCUAAAUAAAUUCAAUAUCAAAAUAUUAGAACACUUCGCGACUUUGAUUGGAAAACGAAUAAAACGUAAAAAAGUGCAUUCUAAAAAAAAAAUGAAUCGAAUCGAAAGAAAAAUGCCCAGAACUCUGAGAAGUUUUGCCAUAUAGUACUGAAAAAAGAGACUCCUCCAGAAUUCUGAAAGAAGUUCCUCUAGAACUAUUAAAGAGAUUUCUUCAGGAUGCUGAAGAAUGCGGGAAAUGAUUGCACCAGAAUCCUGAGCGACAUUAUCUAGAAAAGAAAACAAGACUCUUCCGGUAUCUUAGAAGGAAUUCACUCUGAAUUCUAUUAAGGAUUUUCCUGGAAUCCUGAGAGAGAUUACUCCAUAUCUAUGAGACGGAUUGUCUCAGAGUCCCGAGAGGGAUUCUCCCAGAAUCCUGUGUUAGAUAGUCUCAGAAUCCUAAGAGAAGCUUUCCCUUGGGUUCUCUCAAAAUGUUCCAGAUUCGUAAAUAGAAUUAUCCUAGAAUCCAGAAAUAAAUCCCCCCAAAAUCGUGAGAGGAAUCCCAAGAGCUUUUUUUUACAUUUGAGAUAAAUUCAUCUGGAAUUGUGAGAUUCCCACUAAACAAAAAAGAUUUUCGGAAAUCUAAGAUGAAUUCCCCAAGAAACUUAAAAUAAAUGACUAGAAUCCUAAAAAGCGUAGCUUAGAACCCUAAGAAGGCUUCCAGAAUUCUGAGAAAGGUUCCCUCAAAAUACUGGGCGAGUUUGCUAAAGAAACCUGAGAUAUACUCUCACAUAAUUCUGGAAGAUAGGACUCCCCCAGAAACUUGAGAAGAUUCCUCCAGAAUUCUUUUAAGCAUUCUCCCAGAAUUCUCCUAAACUUCCUUCCUUUAGAAUGCUGCGAAUAAGUAUUCCAUAAUCCCGAAAGGUAUUCUCUAGAAUUCUACGAGUGAUUCCUCCAGAAUCCUGAGAGGGAUCAUAAGAGGGGUUCUUCCAGAUUCUUGAGAGAAAUAUAACCUAAGAGGGAUUUUUCUUCUAGAAUGGACUUCUCCAGCAUCCUGAGAAGGAUUCUCUGGAAUUCUGAAAGGUAUUUCCACAUAGAACAGAAAAAAUACUGCAGAUUUCUGACAGACAUUGCCCAGAAUCUUUGAAAGGACUCCCCUAAACUCCUGAAAGGGAUUAUCCCUGAACUCUGAGAGUGAUUCCUCUAGAAAAAUUAUACCAAUAUCUCGACAGAAUCUUCCUAUAAUGAAGUCAGGGAUGUUCCAUGAUUACUACAAGGGAUGCUUCCAGAAUCCUGUAAGAGAUUUCUGGGAGCAACUGCUCCAGAAUACAGAAAACAAAAUUCUACUGGAAUUCUCGUAAAAUGCUGAGAAGGAUUUCUUCCGAAUCCUAAGAGGAAUCACAAAAUAAAUGCGAGGGAUUCUUCAAAAUCCCAAUUUCUCUAGAGAACUCUGCCCAGAAUCUCGUGAGGGAUUCUUCAAUAAUUGAUAAUUCCGAAAGAAAGUGCCCUAGAAUCUUGAAAAUAUAGCCCCAAGAUCCCAAGGAUUUCUCCAAAAUUUUGAGAGAAACUUUCCCAGAAUCUUGGUGGCAUUACCCCAGGAAGCCGAAUUUUCAGAGAAUCUUGGGAAGAGUAUUUCGUGAUAUUCCCCCAGAAUCUUAAAAGGAUCUUACGCAGAAUCUUCAGAAAGAUACCACUGGAGUCCUGCGUGGGAUUCCCUCAAAAUCAUAGGAAAUAUCCCGGCAGAAUUCAGAGAGGGAUUUUGCACAUGUCUGAGAAUGCUGAGAAUGAUUCUCCAAAAAUUCUGGGAGGAGUUCAAAAAAAUACUAAAGAAAAUUGCUCCGAAUUUUUUGUGGGAUCCUAACUGAGGGUCUUCCAGAAUUCUUAGAUAAAUCAACCCAGAUCAUCCAGAAAUUAAUUAUAAUCCUGAAAGGGAUAUCACCCUUGGUAGGGAAUACCCCAAAAUCCUGAAAUGAUCCCCUAAGAAUCUAGAGAGAGAUUCCCUAGAAUCACAGACAAGCAGACGUAACACUCUUCGACAGGCCUUGGUACAUGGAUUUAACGAUGAAUUUAAAUUUCGUUUGAUUUCUGCGAUCAUUCCACCGGAGGUGCUAGAGUUCGAUCGCUUUGACGUUUGCUAGUGUACACGUUCCUGAAUGAUGCAAACAAAAUUUACAGAUUUGUGUAGUAGUAUGCGUAUGUCUCGCGUGUUUCUACCAACAUGGAUUGCCUCAGAAUCCUGAGAGAAGUUUUAUCUCGGGAUUCUCCCAGAAUGCUUAGAUGCAUAUCCCCAAAAUUCCCUAGCGAAUUCUUCCAGAAUCCUGAGAUAAAUUCUCCUGCAGUAUUGAAAGGCAUCCUAAGAGGGGAUCUUCCACAUUAUUAAGAGAAAUUCAUCUAGAAUCCUGAGAGGGAAUCUCAAAAAAAAAAAAAAAAUGUUCGGAAUGCUGAGAAGAAUGCGCUAGAACCCUGAAAGGGACUCUCUGAAGGAUUCCUCCAGAAACCUGAGAAAGAUUCACUUAGACUCCUGGCAGAGAUUGCCCAAGAAACCCGAUGUAUACAGGUUAGCCUGGUACACGGUUUAUAUGGGAAAAUACAAAAAAUGGAAAAACUCAAGUUCCUGUAUUCUUUUUGAGUUCCACUUUGGUCCCAUAUCAACUGUGCAAAAUUUCAGAUCGAUCGGAAAAACUAUAUUUUACCGCCCGCCAUUCUUAGUUUUUCAAACGAUUUACUAUGGGGAAAUUUUACUCCUGCAAAGAAAAAUCGCUAGGAGUCACCCCUAGAUCCCUAAAAAUAAGUCGAUGAAUGAUUUCUGUAGAAAACUUCACUAGGAAUCAGACAUCUGAAGACAGCAAAUCGAUGCGACGUUCGUGGAAAAAGUUAUUAGGCAUCACCCGAUCGAUAAAAUAACGAGAUUUUAUUAUUUAUUGUUAUUCCUUACACGUUAAACAGCGUUUGCAUGCCAUUCGGUUUUCAGUCAAUAACAUUUUUCACAUGCUCAGAUCGCUUUGCGGUCUUCGGAGGGUUGGUUCCUCGUAAAAUUUCCAACAGAAAUCAUUCAUCGAUUUAAUUUUAGGGGUUAAGGGGCAAGCUGUAGCGAUUUUUCUUUGAAAAAGUGAUUUUCCCCAUACUAAAUCGUAUGAAAACUUAAAAUGGCUGGCGCUAAAAUAUAGUUUCUCCGAUCGGUCUGAAAUUUUGCACAGUUGAUAUGGGACCAAAAUGGAACUCAAAAAGUGUGCAGGAGUAAAAUGUCUGUUUGUGUCCCACGCUAAUACAGGUAUACCUCGAUUUAGUGGACCCUCGAUUGUAUGUACGUCGAUUUUAUGUACAUUUUUUAACCCUUUAUAAGGCAGUGGCAACUAUAUUGCCACCUACUGUUUGUAUUUUUUUCUGUUUUAUAACGAUAUAUUUCAAACUUUUUUUUUUGUUUACGCAAAAUUGGGAUUACUAACAACGCCUGGUAUUUUUUUAGUACCAAACAAUGCUUAAACAACAAUUUGGGAGCCAUUUGUAGUCUCAAAAAAUGGCUAAAUUUGACCGCGUGAAGAAAAUUAGCUCAAACUUAUUGUAAAAUUAUAGAUUUUGUAAAUAUUUUAAGAAAUAAUCAAAUUAUGGGUUGACAUGAGCUUAACUACACAGUUUAUAUUAUGGGUUAAGCCCUGAUCCCCUCUAAAAUCUCUUUACCAGCUUUUUGUCGAAGUCAAAAGAAGAAAAGUACCCCAAACGGGCAGUGGCAAGUAUAUUGCCACCAGCGCUGGUGGCCUAAACGGGCAGUGGCAACUAUAUUUCCACCUCAAAAGCUCAAUUUUGGGGUAAACGGGCAGUGGCAACUAUAUUGCCACCAGCGUUUUUGGGCUUAACGGGCAGUGGCAACUAUAUUGCCACCUAGAUUUUUGAGAGUUUCUUUCAAACAAAAAUUGUUUUGUACAUGUAAUCAUGUAUAUAAUCAUUUCCAUAAUUGUAUGCGUUGACAACUCUUCUAGUUUUCUCGGCCUUAUAAGGCCGAUGCAAAUAUUAUUUUUCUUUUAUGUCCGAGACCUUCCAUAGGGUACGA